UUUUUUAAUUUUUAUUUUUUUAUAGGAAAGUAUGCUUUCAUUAAAAACCAAUAAUGGCCAACAAUGCAUUGUCGCAUAAACAUAAGGCAACAUUAAGCUCAAUAUAUAAGAUAAGAUCUAAGACUCAUGUCUAAGUUAGGAUAAUCCCUAAUAGCAAACAUCAUUAGUAGGGACAUUUGAGCCAAACCAAAAUACUUUUUUGGUUAAUUUCUCCUAAGUGACAUUUGAUUCCAAACUUGUCACAUAGAUGACAAUUAUUUAGAAAAUACUCACAAAGCUAACACUCUGUUAAGUUUUGUCUUUAACUCUAACAUAAGCGGUCAAUUAGUUAAGAAAUGAUGUUACAUAAGUGGUCAAUUAGUUAGGAAAUGAUAUUUUUGUCCUUACUAAGUGAUUUUUAUUUUUUAGUGGAAAAACACAAAAUUAAAUCUAAUUCUAAUUCUAAUUAACAUUAACAGUUUUUUUUUGGUUAAAUAAAAUUAAUUAAAAAACUUUCUUGUUGAAUUAAACUAAUUUUUAAAAAUAAGAAGAAGCAUAUUUCUCAUGACGCGUAAAGCAUGAUAUAAAUUCAAAUUUUAUCUCAUUAGUUCUAAUUUUGCAAAUACUAAACUCAAAUCCUAAAAAAUCUAGUUUAAUGGCUUAGUAAACUUUUGUUCUUUCAAAAUCCUUUUCAUAGCAAUCAAUCCAUUAAAUACAUUCUUCAACAAAGCUCUGCAAAUAUCUUCUCCUUCAUGUUCUCUAUCAAUUACAACAUUUUUGGCUUUAUGAUUUAAGGCAUCAAUAACCAAAUCCUGUUGCAGUGGUGAAGAAUUUCAACCUGAGAUUUUUAAUCCAAAUUACACCAUUACGUAGUUAUAAUAUUUUCAAAUUCAUCUUUGGUUAUUCAUUAAGUAAAAUUUAGAGAUACGAGAGAAAUUAAAGAAAGUUAAUUUCAGAGAACUACUCUCUAGAUAAGAAACACAAUCAAUAAAUAAUAGGAAUCUUCUCUGCCUUUUUAUCCUUUCAUCAUCCAUUUAAAUACAACUAAUAAGAUAACUAUACAAGACUAAUUACAAUAUUACUAGGACAAGCCAUUACCACAAUAUAACUAUUAAAUUAAAACUACAUUAAUUCGUACAAUAAUAAUAACUAAACAUUACAAUAAUAAUUGGCACACAUCAUUCCCCUUCUCUUAGAAAAAUCCUUGUCCUCAAGGAACUACUAUGGACAUUAACCAUGUUUUACACUUUGUCUGCUUCUAUCAUCAUCAUCUUUCCUGUGAAAAUAUUCCAUCUUAAAAAAUUAAGGACUUUGAUACUUGUGACAAGGAGAAUAUUUCCCAUCACAAUAGUAGCAAGAAUGACAUUCUUUGUGUUCUUUAACUUCUCUUAAGGGUCAAAUGUUUAAAUGUUGAUAGAAUUGAGUUGCUUGGCUGGGAUCCUAACAAACCUUGGAUUGUAGACUAGAUUUUAGAGGGUUGCUUACAGAAGUUGCACUUUUUCUCAGUAAGUCUAAUAAGUCCAAUGGAUGCUGAUAAUGACCAAGGCUUAAAAAUCUUUAGUUGUAAGCGAAUCUCAUCUUUGAGUCCUCCAACAAAACUACCAACUCAGAAGCCUUUUGGUAUAUCCUCCACCAUUUGAGACUAUCUUUCAAAUUCUUCUAGUAAUCCAAAUAUGGUGUUUGUUUGCUUUAAUUGAGAUAAAGCCUCUCAAGCAUUAUUAAACUUUGUUGAUCUAAAUCUUUUAAGAAGGGCUCGUGAAAACUCAACCUAAGAAAUUGGUCCUUUUGUUUUCAUUAACCAAUGAAACCAUUAUAGUGCAGUUCCUUUAAGAUGGAAAGAUACCUAUUGCACUUGGUAUUCCCACAUAAUUUGUUGAUACUUAAAGUAUUGUUCAGCCCUAUAAAUCCAACUAUUUAGGUCUUCACCAUUGAAAUUUGAGAACUUUAAUUUAUGGUAGGAUAAAUUUGUUUUUCUAAUAGAUGCAUGGCAUUGGACUUUAUAUGACACUUGCACUGGCUUAGGAAUAUGGAACUUAUUUGGUCAUGUUUGGUGUUUAGACUCCUAAGAAUCUCUUACAUGAUUGCAUCUUGAUUCUCAAAUUACAAGGUUUCAAAAUCAGUUUUUUUUUUUUUUGCGUAAUUGCAUUAGCCAUGGGGAAUGUGCUUUAAUACCAAUUGUUAAGUAAAUUUUAGAGAUACUAGAGAGAUUAAAAAAGGAAUGUUGAUAUGAGAUAACCACUCUCUAGAAAAUAAAAUAGGAAUGUUUUUUUGUCUGAAAUAUGAAUAGACCUGAAUUAGUCUGAAUUCUGAAUAGGUCUGAAUAUCUGAAUCUGAAUAAUAUGUUUGUUUUUUCAUAUGAAUCUUGGAAAAUAAGGAUUAAGUUGUUUGUUUUUUUCAACUUAAAAAGCUGAAAAUAUGUACUUUUACAUUCGUAUCCUUAUUAAAUUUAAAUAUCA
rnacentral:lncRNA from 1 species